AAAAAAAAAAGAGAGAGCGCAGUGAAACUGUGAAAGUAGCGCUUUCACUGACAUCUAAUUCAGGUUAGGGUUUGUGCGCGCCCUGAAGACCACAGCUCGACUUGUAUAUCAGCAUAUAUAUAUAUAUAUGUAUAUAUCUAUAGAUAUGUAUCUCCAGCUUAGAGUUUGGGGCGGUGACUGCGAGCUACAAAGAGAUGUUGUGAUAAACUAUGUUCUUGCGAGGCUUCGCACUUCCUACCACUUGAUGCAUAUCAUUUUUGCGUGCAGUGAUCUGUGGAUCUCUCUGCUCUUUCCUUUCCCCCAUUUUUACUACUGUUUCUGAACAAAUCACUCGAUUUACGAGCUUCUUUUCGUCUUCGUUUUCUAUAUCUUGUUGCUAUAUAUGUACGAGUUCAAUCAGACAUCACAUCGGAUUGCUAAUUGAUGGGGUGUAGGAGGGAAGGGAGCGAUUUCAUAGAUCACUCGCGCAAAAAUGAUAUAAUUAGUGGUCGGUAUUGCAAGCCACGGCCAUGAUCUGCAACAAUAGGAGCAGGAUAAAAUUUACCGACAUUCGUGCUAAGAUUUGUUAGUUAUGUGCUGCAGGGUUUCGAGUCCGAAUAGCACCACUGUCGUAGCAACUGUGAUAGAGGCUGCGGAGAUGCAGGGCGGCAUCAAUUGAGUUUGGCAGAUCCGUUACAGAGCUUGGAAGUGAGUCGCGCGACGAACAUUGAGCAGUUUGAUAUGCUGGCCAAGGAGGGCAAGAAGAGGGUGAGUGAAGAUGUGUCGUCGGAUUCUGCCAAGGUUGCCCUCGUAUUCCAGCUCUCUUUACAUAACCGGAGUGUUCUUGGCAGGGAGUCUUCCCUGGAACAUGUUGGAGUACAUGGGUCACACCAUUCAUGUCAACCAAGUUGUGGCUGAAGAGAUCAUUCACUGUAGGCCCAUAGUUUGGCACUGGACCCGAUCCUUAGGCCCGAUCUCAGCCCAACACCAGCGCUGCAACACUCGCAUGUCGUCAGCGCCCUCCGUGAUCCUCGCGACUGUAACAAGCCUCAUCAACUCCAAAUAUCUCAACCCCCAAUUCUCAUUAGCACCGAAAAUCUCGGCUCUCUAUCCUCUCACAAUGACCAGUGACACGCAAGGGGCUCUCCCCUUCUCUUAUAUAAAUUAGCCGACCACCAAUUAAGGUAUGUUCUUUUCAGUUUUAUAGAAACUCAUACACUCUUAAGCUCUUACUUAUUUGAGCAUUGGAGUGCUUACAGGUGCUACUCCCAUCGUGUGGAUCGCCGUUGCCUUAAGCUCCCCGUUCGAUCACCUUUUGGGCUAAAAGGAUAAUUAUUAUACUUACCAAAUUUAUCUUGUUGUUGCUGUUUGAAUUUAGGUUGACGAAAGGGUUGUGCAAACACCCCCCCCCCCC